rnacentral:rRNA from 1 species
AUUGAACGCUGGCGGCAGGCUUAACACAUGCAAGUCGAACGAUGAUUAUCUAGCUUGCUAGAUAUGAUUAGUGGCGGACGGGUGAGUAACAUUUAGGAAUCUGCCUAGUAGUGGGGGAUAGCUCGGGGAAACUCGAAUUAAUACCGCAUACGACCUACGGGUGAAAGGGGGCGCAAGCUCUUGCUAUUAGAUGAGCCUAAAUCAGAUUAGCUAGUUGGUGGGGUAAAGGCCCACCAAGGCGACGAUCUGUAACUGGUCUGAGAGGAUGAUCAGUCACACCGGAACUGAGACACGGUCCGGACUCCUACGGGAGGCAGCAGUGGGGAAUAUUGGACAAUGGGGGCAACCCUGAUCCAGCCAUGCCGCGUGUGUGAAGAAGGCCUUUUGGUUGUAAAGCACUUUAAGCAGGGAGGAGAGGCUAAUGGUUAAUACCCACUAGAUUAGACGUUACCUGCAGAAUAAGCACCGGCUAACUCUGUGCCAGCAGCCGCGGUAAUACAGAGGGUGCGAGCGUUAAUCGGAAUUACUGGGCGUAAAGCGAGUGUAGGUGGCUCAUUAAGUCACAUGUGAAAUCCCCGGGCUUAACCUGGGAACUGCAUGUGAUACUGGUGGUGCUAGAAUAUGUGAGAGGGAAGUAGAAUUCCAGGUGUAGCGGUGAAAUGCGUAGAGAUCUGGAGGAAUACCGAUGGCGAAGGCAGCUUCCUGGCAUAAUAUUGACACUGAGAUUCGAAAGCGUGGGUAGCAAACAGGACUAGAUACCCUGGUAGUCCACGCCGUAAACGAUGUCUACUAGCCGUUGGGGUCCUUGAGACUUUAGUGGCGCAGUUAACGCGAUAAGUAGACCGCCUGGGGAGUACGGCCGCAAGGUUAAAACUCAAAUGAAUUGACGGGGGCCCGCACAAGCGGUGGAGCAUGUGGUUUAAUUCGAUGCAACGCGAAGAACCUUACCUGGUCUUGACAUAGUGAGAAUCCUGCAGAGAUGCGGGAGUGCCUUCGGGAAUUCACAUACAGGUGCUGCAUGGCUGUCGUCAGCUCGUGUCGUGAGAUGUUGGGUUAAGUCCCGCAACGAGCGCAACCCUUUUCCUUAUUUGCCAGCGGGUUAAGCCGGGAACUUUAAGGAUACUGCCAGUGACAAACUGGAGGAAGGCGGGGACGACGUCAAGUCAUCAUGGCCCUUACGACCAGGGCUACACACGUGCUACAAUGGUAGGUACAGAGGGUUGCUACACAGCGAUGUGAUGCUAAUCUCAAAAAGCCUAUCGUAGUCCGGAUUGGAGUCUGCAACUCGACUCCAUGAAGUCGGAAUCGCUAGUAAUCGCAGAUCAGAAUGCUGCGGUGAAUACGUUCCCGGGCCU